CGGCCAGGGCUCAGAUGGGUUUAAAAGCAGGUGGUUGGAAUCCUAGCCACAUGCCCUUCCUGCUGAGUCAUGGUCUCUCCAAGCCUCAGUUUGCUCAUCUGUGAAAUGGGGUAACAGGAAUGCCUACCUCAGAUGGUCAGCGUGAAAGUGCUCGGAGCAUGGCAGGGGUUGGAUAAAUGUCAGCCCAGCCUCCAUGCUUCCAGGACUUAGUUUAUUCACGUGGGACUGAAGCCGAUAAUGUCUGACUUCCAGAGUUAUUUGGGUUAAAGCAGGUAGAAGGUGCUGUGUGGAUGCACCAGUGCGGGCAGGCACUGCUGCUGGUGGGGCUCGGGCCCUGGCCUCAGCCCUAAUUCUGGGCGGUUAACCAGCCUGCUGUUGGCAUAGGCUGGCGGUGAGGCAGGUUGGGGCGGAGGGGGGACCUCAGAUUGGUUUUCUGUUGCCUCAGGCUCCCUUCCCCGGCUCCUGCCCAACCCAUCCAUUCCAGUGUCUGCUGUCUCCUGUGGGGUUUUUGCAGGUGGGAAACUGAGGCUCAGAGAGAUUUGCCUGAGCUGUAGCAAGAAUCCUUACCUCCCGGGGCUGUUUUGCAACUUAAACAAGAGAGGGGCCAGUCCCCGACAGGAGCUCUGACAUCUGUGCCCGCUGUGCCCCCAAGAGAGGCCUCUGGCAGUCCCCCGCGUCUCUGGCCCAAGCUUUCCUCCUUGCAGCCGCAGAACAAACAAGGUGGGAACCAGUCUUUAUUUGCUUCUCUGCUAAUGUGUUGGGCGGGAGGGGAGACAGAAAAGAGGACUUUUCAGACAUCUCCCUGCUGCCUGGGUGGGAUGGUGGGAGUUCCAGGAAACUCGCCCUCGGUGCCCAGCCCCGUCUGCCCAGGGGAGUGCUGCCAAGGGCAGGGGGCUGCCAGCCAGCCAGCAGGGCCUUGCCCCUCCCUGCUCUUGCUCCUGGCUAAACGUUGGACUUGGAGCCAGAGAGACCUGAGUUCAAGUCCAACUCUUCUCCCUCUAAGCUGUGACGGCCCCUCUUUUGUUUAUUUAUAUUUUUAAAAUAACUUUUCAUUUUUUAAUUACAGUUGGCAUACAAUAUUAUAUUAGUUUCAGGUAUACAACCCAGCGAUUAGACAUUUAUGUAACUUACAAAAUGAUCACCCUGAUAGAACUAGUACCCAUCGAAUACCACACAUGGUUGUUACAACAUUCAAUAAUAUUGACUAUAUUCCCCGUGCUGUACAAUAUAUUGACUAUAUUCCCCAUGACUAUUC